CUUAUUUUCUCUUUGAUUGUUUGGAACUUGCCGUCUUUCAUUCUUCCCUCUGGAACCGGAAGACCAAGGUAUUUGGCUUCGAAGCGGCUAGACUGAACUCCCAGAAUUUGCAUGACUGCUUUUGUGUUAUUGGCCGAACAAGAGUUACCCAGCAUAAUAGAACAUUUCUCUUUGUUAAGGAGCUGACCGGUGCCUUUCUCAUACUCCAAAAGCACUGAGCGGAUUUUGAGAGCUUGGUCUCGAUUGGCUCUGAAGAAUAACAGGCUAUCGUCCGCAAAAAGGAGAUGAGAAAUUCCAGGGCUUCAUCAGCAAAUAUGCAGCUCAUGAAUAGCUCCCCCAUCAAUCUCUCUCUGGAGAAGCAGAGACAAACUUUCAGCAACCAAAAGGAAUAGGUACGGGGAAAGGGGGUCACCUUGGUGGAGGCCUGUGGGAGUGUGAAAACGCUCCAGCUUUUUGCCAUUAAAGCGGACACUAUAACUCACAGUGGUGACACAAGACAUGAUCCAUUUAAUCCAUUGGUCUGCGAAUCCAAGCUUGGUCAAGGUGGUUUGUAGGAAGCGCCAGUCGACCCGGUCGUAAGCUUUAGAUAAAUCAAGCUUGUACGCACAGAAACGACCCUUCUCAUCAUUGCUCUUUUGUAUGGUGUGAAUACAUUCGAAGGCGAUCAGGGCAUUAUCAGUGAUCGCUCUUCCAGGAAUAAAAGCACUCUGCGACUGAGAGAUGAUGUCCUGCAAGAGUGGUCUGAAUCUGUUUAGUCAAACAUUUAGAGAUGAUUUUGUAAAUCACAUUACAGAGACCGAUAGGGCGAAAAUCUUUCAAAUUAGUGGGAUCCUUGAUCUUUGGAAUUAGCACAAUGGUAGUGUCAUUCACUCCUUCAGGCAUGGAACCGGUACGGAAAAAUUCUCUAACGGCUCGACAGAUAUCUUCCUUCAAGAGGGUCCAUUGUCGCUGAAAAAAUCUGGCCGGCAUGCCAUCAGGUCCAGGCGCCUUCCAUGGGCCGAUCUGAAACAAUGCGUCACUAAUUUCUUCAUCCGAGAAUUCCCUGCACAGGUUUAAGUUCAUCUGAUCAGUGAUUUUCGGGGUGAAAACCUGAGCAGCAAAGGAGGGAUUCACAUUGUUGUCGGCACUGUAGAGGUUCUGAAAAAAGGCAGUGGUCAUCUGUUCCAUAAGCUGAACAUCUGCAGUAAGAGUCCCAUCAGGUUUCACGAGUUGAUUGAUAUUAUUUUUCUUUGCUCGCCAAGUGGCUUUGCGAUGGAAAAAUUUAGUGUUGCGGUCCCCUUCUCGAAUCCACCCAAUUCUAGAUCUCUGACGCCAAUAGAUUUCUUCAGAGUCAAGAAGACCAUCCAUUUGUUUAGACAGAGCAGUAGCCUCUUGUUGACUCGCGUGGCUCGGAUUGGCCAGAGCUUGACCAAUUUUCUUCCUAGUUUUCUCAAUCUUCCGGGGAAUGGAGCCAAUGGUACGAGCACUCCAGGAGUUCAAGGACUGCAUCACACCAGUCAGAUUUUUAGCAACAUCUCCGAGGUCGGUAGGUCGCCGAUGCAGCUCCCAAGCAGCUUGCACCUCACUGUCCAGCUCCUGAGAUUGUUACCAAACUGCUUCGUAACGCAAGUGCUUCUGUUUUUCAUGAGCUUCUUUAUUGGGGUCAAGCUGAAUUAAAAUAGGGCAAUGAUCAGAAGCCGGAGAGACAAGAUGCUUGACCUGACAGCGAGGAAAAAUUUGAGACCAACUCGGGUCAGCCACUGCGCGGUCCAAACGAACUCUGACAUUCCUGUCACCAGCCUGUUUGUUAUCAAAAGUCCAGGGUAAACCAUUAAAGCCCAAGUCAAAGACAUUGCAAUAAGAAAGAAUUUCUCUGAAAUCUGCCAUCUGCUUAUCUGGGCGUCUGCGAGCAGACAGGUGUUCUUUCGGCCACAUUGCUUCGUUGAAGUCGCCGCAAGAAGCCAAGGAACAUCAACAGAAGACUUGAUGCGGCGGAGAAGCUCCCAAAUGUGAUGUCGGAGGUGAGUACGAGGCUCGCCAUAAACAAAGAGAACGAAGCUAUUACUAUGUCAUCUCGCAAUCGCACUGGGCCACCCACCCCAUUCCAAGAUAUAAGCAACGACCAAGACUUGGCUGCCAGAUGAAGCUAUAUUAUCUGAGGCCGUUGAAUCUCCUGCUUUGCAAGAGUGGGUCAAUAGAGCUCCUGGUGUUGGGGAUCGAAUCGAAGAGAUCGCUGGAGCAGAGCAGAGGCGAGUUCAUCAGAUCAUUACCCGUUAGCAACUUUGUCAGUUCUGGAAUCUCCAGGAGCUGAAGCUCAAGUGAACGAACUUAGAAAAAUGUCAAUAAAAUUAAGCAAAGCACUGAACUUUGAAGGGAUCAGAUCAAUGGUAGAAAGGGUGUCACAAAAGAACAGCACUCAAUGGGAUGCCAAAGAUGUAGAGUCAACAGCUAAUCGGUCAAUGCAGGAAGUGGGAAAAAACGACGAAAAUAUUGUCACGGUAGAGACUGAAUGGCUCUGAGUUGCCACAUGGAAACACUCCUUUGUUAUCUCAUGGACUCUUGUUAUCUCAAUUUAGUUGGAAGAUUAGAAGUAUUUUAAUGACUUUAGGUACGCAUCUAUUCUAUAUGUUAUGAAGAUAGCUCAAUUUCAUAUAAUAUGAAGUCACUGCAUCUUCUCAAAACUUGCAUUUACUAAUUCAGAGGUUUUAUGUUAACUCAUAGUACAUAUACACAACCAAGCUGUCAUUUAUCAAGGAAAAACACUUUUGCUGAAUCAUAAUAAUGUGUUAUAUCCCAAGUUUCUCCCAGUUGAGAAAUCAUGUAUGACAUCUGAAAUGAAUC